rnacentral:miRNA from 1 species
CUAGAUCCCCAUCUGGCUCUGUU